GCUUACUUGGAGAAAUUGGUAAACUCUCCGAACUUAAAAUUCGGUGCCGCGAGGCUUGUGGGUUCGAGUCCCACAGUAAGUA
rfam:Lichtheimia corymbifera JMRC:FST:9682, FST 9682, WGS project CBTN01000000 data, contig: SCAF00098